UACGUAGGGGGCGAGCGUUGUCCGGAUUUAUUGGGCGUAAAGAGCUCGUAGGCGGCUGCUCAAGUCGAAUGUGAAAACUCGAGGCUCAACCUCGAGCCUGCAUUCGAUACUGGGCGGCUAGAGUCUGGUAGGGGGAUCUGGAAUUCCUGGGUGUAGCGGUGGAAUGCGCAGAUAUCAGGAGGAACACCAAUUGCGAAGGCAGCUCGCUGGGACGUAACUGACGCUGAGACGCGAAAGCGUGGGGAGCAAACAGG
rnacentral:rRNA from 1 species